AAUUAAUGUAAUAAAAUUAUUUAUAUAAACGAAAUUUACUUUUGUUUAAAUAACUCCAAGUGACGCGCGUGAAGUAGUAGUGCAAAGAAUGUCCAACUAUUGAAGUAUGCUGUGGACGAGUGUGCUGGGAAAUGAUUCCAGAUGAUUCACCAACAACAAUAAAGCCAUUGUAUGUAAGUUGGAAAUUUGUACAAAAUUUCCAUCCUUACAGCUUCUAGUUUAUUCAGAAGUGGUGAUGAACUCUUCACAGAGAUUCAAAGAUCUUAAGAACUUUUUGCUCGAAAACUCCCAGUACUGCUUCAUCAUACAAUGAUCGUGUUCAUACUUCUGUACUAUACAAAAGAAAAAAUAGGAUAAACGACCUAAUGAGAAUAUUGAUUAAGUUGUAUUGUAUGUAAAUAGAGCACUACAUUCCAAUCGCCUUUUGUGCCCAUAGUAGCACAUAUUGGGAAUGUUAAUUCUUCAUCUGAUCUCUAUGUUAAUAUCGUUGUUGUUAGUCUAAAAAUUAUGUAAUUGAUUAAAAAAUUGUAUUACAUAAAAUUAUAAAUUGAUAAUUGAAAGUAGGAGGCAGAAUCAUGGAUUAUUGUUUUUGGAGAUAACUACAAAAUUUCGUGGUUUAUUAUCGGAUAACUGGAUAUACGUAUGUACCAUCAAAUUACCAUUAUUGCAAAAUAAUAUAAAUAAUAAACAUACAUUUUUCAUUGUUCGUUUGAAUAAUGUAUUUCAUGGUGCAAAUCAAUGCAUUACACAA